AGCUCCAAUAGCGUAUACUAAUGUUGUUGCAGUUAAAAAGCUCGUAGUCGGAUUUCAGUAUUGCAGAUGCACCUCUAUUCGAGGCAGCACCUCGGUACUUCUUUGACAGAAACAUUCAUCGCCUUAGUUGGUGGUGUUUUGGGACUGUCUCUUUUACUUUGAGAAAAUUAGAGUGUUCAAAGCGGGUUAUCGCCAGAAUAUUACUCUUGGAAUAAUACUAUAGGACUCCGGUU
rnacentral:rRNA from 1 species